GACCUCGCGUCCACUCACCCGCCCUUUGUCAUGAGACGCGCAAGCAACUCACAUCGUUUCGGCUCCUGGCUCUCGGGUACCCCCGCUAUUAAUUUAGUGGGGUACUACCUGUUAGUCGCGGGUCGGCAUUGCAAACCCACGCGGAUUACUGAAGUCUGAUACAAAUUUUAAACGAAAUUAAAACUUUCAACAACGGAUCUCUUGGUUCUGGCAACGAUGAAGAACGCAGCGAAAUGCGAUAAUUAAUGUGAAUUGCAGAAUUCAGUGAAUCAUCGAAUCUUUGAACGCACAUUGCGCCUCCUGGUAUUCCGGGAGGCACGCCUGUCCGAGCGCCAUUACACCCCCCAAGCCUUGCUUGAUGUUGGGCCAUGACGCGCUGUCAAGCCCCAAACCUCUAGGCGCCCCCCACCGGCCGCGAGCGUAGCAAGAAUUUUUUUCCCUCGCUUCGUGUACCCGAUGGGUGGGUCGCCGAUUGACUCCUAAAUUUUACAAGGUUUGGCCUCGGAUCAGGCGGGGAUACCCGCUGAACUUAAGC
rnacentral:ncRNA from 3 species